rnacentral:tRNA from 1 species
AGCAGUGUGGUUUAGUGGAAAGAACAUGAGCUUGGGAAGCAGGGGACCUGGGUUCUAAUCCCAGUUUUGCGA